rnacentral:rRNA from 1 species
CUACGGGUUGCUGCAGUAAGGAAUAUUGCGCAAUGGAGGCAACUCUGACGCAGCCAUGCCGCGUGCAGGAAGAAGGCCUUAUGGGUCGUAAACUGCUUUUAUUUAGGAAUAAACCCCCGAACGUGUUCGGGGCUGAAGGUACUAAACGAAUAAGCACCGGCUAACUCCGUGCCAGCAGCCGCGGUAAUACGGAGGGUGCAAGCGUUAUCCGGAUUUAUUGGGUUUAAAGGGUGCGCAGGCGGGCUAUUAAGUCAGUGGUGAAAUCCCGGGGCUCAACUCCGGAACUGCCAUUGAUACUGAUAGUCUUGUGUUUGGUUGAAGUGGGCGGAAUGUAGCAUGUAGCGGUGAAAUGCAUAGAUAUGCUACAGAACACCAAUCGCGAAGGCAGCUCACUAAGCCAAAACUGACGCUCAUGCACGAAAGCGUGGGGAUCAAACAGGACUAGAUACCCGGGUAGUC